CGUGUAGGUGGCUAAUUAAGUCAGGUGUGAAAUCCUUCCGCUUAACGGGAGAAGUGCACUUGAAACUGCUUAGCUAGAGUACGGGAGAGGAAGGUGGAAUUCCUGGUGUAGAGGUGAAAUUCAUAGAUAUCGGGAAGAACACCGGUGGCGAAGGCGGCCUUCUGGCCCGAUACUGACGCUGAGACGCGAAAGCGUGGGGAGCAAACAGGAUUAGAUACCCUGGUAGUCCACGCCGUAAACGUUGGGCACUAGGUGUGGGAGGUUUUUAUUCCUUCUUUGCCGAAGCUAACGCAUUAAGUGCCCCGCCUGGGGAGUACGGUCGCAAGGCUAAAA
rnacentral:rRNA from 1 species